GGCCGAUGGGAUCUGGUCCGAGGCUCAGCAUUCAGGGAGAGAAGACAGACAACUGAGGCAAGGGACUCGCAGAGAUUAUCUGCCAUGCCAGGGCAGGCAGCAAGCGAGCUGGCAGAAGGGCCUGAGAACCCAGGUCCCCAUCUCCGGCCCAGCCCCCUCCACCCCAGGCGGGGGCAGUGAGGACCGAGGGCUCUUGCCUCCGUGCUCCAGAUGCAGCCCUGGCCCAGCCCGGCCCCUUCCCACCCACGCCACGCCUGGCAGGGCGCGGAGUCAGCAGCAGGGGGCCGAGGAGAAACCCUGUGGACCCAUGUGCUGCGGCAGGACCGGAACCGGCUUCGUUAUUCCCAGACCGCAGCUACCUGGCGCGUGCCGGGGGCAUCUGCGCGGGCCGGGCUUACAGGUUCCUCUCACCAACUCCUCAGCACAGGCUGCCCUCACGCUGGUCUCCCAGGGCGCAGACGGUGCCACUCCUGCUCUCAAACGCAACCCCUCCAAGGACACACCCCGACUCCUGCCAGCUCUGCCAGCUCCCUCGCAACCCCGGCACAGGAGGCUGAGCCGGUCUCUGAGCCCCACUCCCCAGUGGGGGCCAGUGCUGUUAUCCAGAACGUUCUCCUCUGUUUUCCUGCCAGGCUGGGUGGAGAAGGCCUUAGGUACUAGAAACCUCAGGGAAUGGCAAUUACAGGGCUUUUAGUCACUUACUGUUUUGGAUAAGUAGAAAUCAGGCUUCUGACGCUUACUGGUGAAAACAUUUCUAAAAACGGCUCUGCACAUCUCCCUGCUUGGAUAAGAACGGGAGGGUGGGAUUUAACCACCUGAUGGCUGCGGUGUUGACAAAGGGCCACCCACAGCCCUCCCUCAGCCACCCAAGAACCAAGGCAGGGCCAGAGCCACGGCCAUGGGUCCAGGGGCCAGAGCCACUCUCAUCCCAGAAGGGGACUCUUCGUCCCAUAGGCAGAGGGCAAGAGCCCGCACCUGCUGAGGGUCAUGGAAGAUGCAUGCCGCUUAUGGACCCUGGUUAAGUGGAUUCUGUGCACCGUCCUCACACUGAGUGAGGAUGGUAUUUUGUUUUUCCUUCCCCCCUCUUCUCAAGCACAAGCGCCCCCAGUGGACAUCCCCAGGUGGGCCCUGGGCCUUCCAGGGAAGUCUCGGAAUUCCCCCAGAUGCUCAUGAGUGUCAGCUCCAACUCUACUUCCGAAUGUGAUGUGGCCAACCUUGCGGAUAAGGAGAACGUCUGCAUUUAAGGUCAAAAGCAUUGGCUGUUGGGUUAUGAGCAAAAGAAAAGUCCCACAAAAUUUUCCGAGGCUUGGUGCUUCUCCUUCUCACUCCUUAGCCCCUGAUUCUGUGUCUAGUUCUCGCUCCAAGAGGCAGUGAACCCCCGUCCUGGGAGCAAACAAACUGUAGGAGCCCCGGACCAAAAAGAAAAGGAAACCAGGCUGGGGGAGAACAAGGCCCCCCAAUUCCACGGCCCUCCGCUCUGCCCAGAGGCCGCACCUUGGGCUGCCUGGACCCCCACCAAGUUGCCAACCCCCCCCCCCACGCGGCGGCGGGCAGUGGGACUGUGCGUACUGCCUGCAGCGGGGUGGAGGUGGCCGGUCCUACUCCCACGGCCUGGCGGGGGUCUGCAUCUUACUUUCUGGGAUCUGCACGGCGAGUCUCCAACUCACAGGUGACUAACGAGCCCUGAGUACCGGGCAGGUGGCAGACCCCCUAAAAACCAGACAUUAAACAACAAAAUGCCACCACAAACCUCACCCACAAAGUAAAACCAAACAAACACCUAA